rnacentral:sRNA from 1 species
GCCAGGUGCAGUGGCUCACACCUGUAAUCCCAGUGGCUCAGGAGGCUGAGGCAGAAGGAUCAUGAGUUCAAAACCAGUCUUAGCAAUGGCAAGGCAGUAAGCAACUCAGUGAGACCCUGUCUCUA